rnacentral:tRNA from 1 species
GUUUUUAUAGCUUAUAUAGAGUAUAUCAGUGAAGUUGAUAAGGAAAUAGUUAUUUGAAAACA